GACGAACGCUGGCGGCGUGCCUAAUACAUGCAAGUAGAACGCUGAAGGAGGAGCUUGCUUCUCUGGAUGAGUUGCGAACGGGUGAGUAACGCGUAGGUAACCUGCCUGGUAGCGGGGGAUAACUAUUGGAAACGAUAGCUAAUACCGCAUAAUAGUAGAUGUUGCAUGACAUUUGCUUAAAAGGUGCAAUUGCAUCACUACCAGAUGGACCUGCGUUGUAUUGGCUAGUUGGUGGGGUAACGGCUCACCAAGGCGACGAUACAUAGCCGACCUGAGAGGGUGAUCGGCCACACUGGGACUGAGACACGGCCCAGACUCCUACGGGAGGCAGCAGUAGGGAAUCUUCGGCAAUGGACGGAAGUCUGACCGAGCAACGCCGCGUGAGUGAAGAAGGUUUUCGGAUCGUAAAGCUCUGUUGUAAGAGAAGAACGAGUGUGAGAGUGGAAAGUUCACACUGUGACGGUAUCUGACCAGAAAGGGACGGCUAACUACGUG
rnacentral:rRNA from 1 species